rnacentral:rRNA from 1 species
GCGUAAUAGCUCACUAGUCGAGUCGGCCUGCGCGGAAGAUGUAACGGGGCUCAAAUAUAGCACCGAAGCUGCGGCAUCAGACGAAAGUCUGUUGGGUAGGGGAGCGUUCUGUAAGCGGAUGAAGGUGAAUCGAGAGGUUUGCUGGACGUAUCAGAAGUGCGAAUGCUGACAUAAGUAACGAUAAAACGGGUGAAAAACCCGUUCGCCGGAAGACCAAGGGUUCCUGUCCAACGUUAAUCGGGGCAGGGUGAGUCGGCCCCUAAGGCGAGGCUGAAAAGCGUAGUCGAUGGGAAACGGGUUAAUAUUCCCGUACUUGGAUAAACUGCGAUGUGGGGACGGAGCAGGUUAGGUUAUCGCACUGUUGGAUAUGUGCGUUUAAGUUUGUAGGUGGGAAGUUUAGGCAAAUCCGGACUUCUUUAACACUGAGAGAUGAUGACGAGGCUCUACGGAGCUGAAGUAACCGAUACCACACUUCCAGGAAAAGCCACUAAGCUUCAGGUUUAUCUAAACCGUACUGAAAACCGACACAGGUGGUCAGGUAGAGAAUACUCAGGCGCUUGAGAGAACUCGGGUGAAGGAACUAGGCAAAAUAGCACCGUAACUUCGGGAGAAGGUGCGCCGGCGUAGAUUGUAGUCCCUUGCGGGCGAAGGUUGAACCGGUCGAAGAUACCAGCUGGCUGCAACUGUUUAUUAAAAACACAGCACUCUGCAAACACGAAAGUGGACGUAUAGGGUGUGAUGCCUGCCCGGUGCUGGAAGGUUAAUUGAUGGUGUAAUCGAAAGAGAAGCUCCUGAUCGAAGCCCCAGUAAACGGCGGCCGUAACUAUAACGGUCCUAAGGUAGCGAAAUUCCUUGUCGGGUAAGUUCCGACCUGCACGAAUGGCAUAAUGAUGGCCAGGCUGUCUCCACCCGAGACUCAGUGAAAUUGAAAUCGCCGUGAAGAUGCGGUGUACCCGCGGCUAGACGGAAAGACCCCGUGAACCUUUACUAUAGCUUGACACUGAACAUUGAAUUUUGAUGUGUAGGAUAGGUGGGAGACUUUGAAGUAGUCACGCCAGUGAUUAUGGAGUCGUCCUUGAAAUACCACCCUUUAACGUUUGAUGUUCUAACGAAGAUUACGAAACGUGGUCUCGGACAGUGUCUGGUGGGUAGUUUGACUGGGGCGGUCUCCUCCCAAAGAGUAACGGAGGAGCACGAAGGUUUGCUAAUGACGGUCGGACAUCGUCAGGUUAGUGCAAUGGUAUAAGCAAGCUUAACUGCGAGACAGACAAGUCGAGCAGGUACGAAAGUAGGUCAUAGUGAUCCGGUGGUUCUGAAUGGAAGGGCCAUCGCUCAACGGAUAAAAGGUACUCCGGGGAUAACAGGCUGAUACCGCCCAAGAGUUCAUAUCGACGGCGGUGUUUGGCACCUCGAUGUCGGCUCAUCACAUCCUGGGGCUGAAGUAGGUCCCAAGGGUAUGGCUGUUCGCCAUUUAAAGUGGUACGCGAGCUGGGUUUAGAACGUCGUGAGACAGUUCGGUCCCUAUCUGCCGUGGGCGUUGGAGAAUUGAUUGGGGCUGCUCCUAGUACGAGAGGACCGGAGUGGACGCACCACUGGUGUUCCGGUUGUGUCGCCAGACGCAUUGCCGGGUAGCUAAGUGCGGAAGAGAUAAGUGCUGAAAGCAUCUAAGCACGAAACUUGCCAAGAGAUGAGUUCUCCCAGAUUACAAAUCUGUAAGGGUUGUUUAAGACUAAGACGUAGAUAGGCAUGGUGUGUAAGCGGUGCGAGCCGUUGAGCUAACAUGUACUAAUUGCCCGAGAGGCUUAACU